CGCGUAGGCGGUUUGGCAAGUCUUAUGUGAAAUCUUCGAGCUCAACUCGAAGCCUGCAUGGGAAACUGCCGAGCUUGAGUAUGGGAGAGGUGCGUGGAAUUUCCGGUGUAGCGGUGAAAUGCGUAGAUAUCGGAAGGAACACCUGUGGCGAAAGCGGCGCACUGGACCAUAACUGACGCUGAGGCGCGAAAGCUAGGGGAGCAAACAGGAUUAGAUACCCUGGUAGUCCUAGCCCUAAACGAUGAUUGCUUGGUGUGGAAGGUACCCAAUCCUUCCGUGCCGUAGCUAACGCGAUAAGCAAUCCGCCUGGGGAGUACGGUCGCAAGGCUGAA
rnacentral:rRNA from 1 species